rnacentral:rRNA from 1 species
CCACGCGGGGUAUGGCCUGUAGUACCGGCGAAGUGAAGCGGCAAAAGCUCAAAUUUGAAAUCUGGCACCUUCGGUGUCCGAGUUGUAAUUUGAAGAAGGUAACUUUGGAGUUGGCUCUUGUCUAUGUUCCUUGGAACAGGACGUCACAGAGGGUGAGAAUCCCGUGCGAUGAGAUGCCCAAUUCUAUGUAAAGUGCUUUCGAAGAGUCGAGUUGUUUGGGAAUGCAGCACUAAGUGGGUGGUAAAUUCCAUCUAAAGCUAAAUAUUGGCGAGAGACCGAUAGCGAACAAGUACAGUGAUGGAAAGAUGAAAAGAACUUUGAAAAGAGAGUGAAAAAGUACGUGAAAUUGUUGAAAGGGAAGGGCUUGAGAUCAGACUUGGUAUUUUGUGAUCCUUUCCUUCUUGUUGGGGGUGGUCCCCCCCGCCUGGUCCGGCGCCGCUUUGGAGGUGAAGAUAAUGAAAGAUGAGAGAAGAGUGUGUCUCUCUCGCUGUGGAGUGAUUUCGCCGUGUUAGAGACCGCGUGUAUAGAGAGAGGCGCGCGUCUCUUUGAAAAGGGGGGGGGGGUGAGUAAUUCCACCGCCCGACGAAAGACCGCAAANAAAAA